UACAAGACACCUUUUUGUUUCUUUUUGAAUAGAAAGAUGAAAACUACAGAAGCCUCCCGCGGGAUACUAGUAACUGGUCUAACCAAUUUCAGAGAGACAAUGCUCGCUCGUCUCUGAGUGCCAGUCACCCAAUGGUGGGCAAGUGGCUGGAGAAACAAGAACAGGAUGAGGAUGGGACAGAAGAGGAUAACAGUCGUGUUGAACCUGUUGGACAUGCUGACACGGGUUUGGAGCAUAUACCCAACUUUUCUCUGGAGU
rnacentral:lncRNA from 1 species